GAUGAACGCUAGCUACAGGCUUAACACAUGCAAGUCGAGGGGAAACGGCAUCGAAAGCUUGCUUUUGAUGGGCGUCGACCGGCGCACGGGUGAGUAACGCGUAUCCAACCUGCCCAUCACUUGGGAAUAACCUUGCGAAAGUAAGACUAAUGCCCAAUGACAUCCCACGAAGGCAUCCGAAUGGGAUUAAAGAUUUAUCGGUGAUGGAUGGGGAUGCGUCUGAUUAGCUUGUUGGCGGGGUGACGGCCCACCAAGGCAACGAUCAGUAGGGGUUCUGAGAGGAAGGUCCCCCACAUUGGAACUGAGACACGGUCCACACUCCUACGGGAGGCAGCAGUGAGGAAUAUUGGUCAAUGGGCGAGAGCCUGAACCAGCCAAGUAGCGUGCAGGAUGACGGCCCUAUGGGUUGUAAACUGCUUUUAUAAGGGAAUAAAGUGGGUCACGUGUGACUUUUUGCAUGUACCUUAUGAAUAAGGACCGGCUAAUUCCGUG
rnacentral:rRNA from 1 species